GGAUUUGAUCCUGGUUCAGGACUAACGCUUGCGGUACGCCUAAUGCAUGCAAGUCGAGCGAGAUAUUUUCAUUUGAAUGAAGACUAACUUGUUAGUUUGAUUUCUCCGAAGAGAUCUAGCGGCGAACGGGAGAGUAACAGGUGGGUACCUGCCCAGAAGACCGGGAUAGAGGACCGAAGGGUCCAGUAAUACCGGAUGAUAUUUUUCGAAAUCAAAUGGUGGUCGAAUUAUGGCCUCCGCUUUUGGAUGGGCCCGCUUCCUAUCAGCUCGUUGGUGGGGUAAAAGCCUACCAAGGCUACGACGGGUAGUCGGCUUGAGAGAGUGACCGGCCUCAUGGGGACUGAGACACGGCCCUGACUCCUACGGGAGGCAGCAGCAGGGAAUUUUGCGCAAUGGACGAAAGUCUGACGCAGCGAUACCGCGUGUGGGAUGAAGGUGCUACGCAUUGUAAACCACUGUCAGGAGGGAAUAAGGGUAAGUGCAGGAAAUGGCACUUAUUUGAAGGUACCUCGUAAGGAAGCCCCGGCUAACUACGUGCCAGCAGCCGCGGUAAAACGUAGGGGGCGAGCGUUGUCCGGUAUUACUGGGCUUGAAGCGUUUGUAGGCGGUUCAAAAAGUCCAUAGUGAAAGCUCUCAGCUCAACUGAGAAAUUGCUAUGGAAACUAGUGGACUGGAGGACAGUAGAGGUCUGUGGAACUCAAGGAGUAGCGGUGAAAUGCGUAGAUAUCUUGAAGAACACCAGAGAGGAAGCUGACAGGCUGGGCUGUAUCUGACGCUGAGAAACGAAAGCUAGGGGAUCGAACCGGAUUAGAUACCCGGGUAGUCCUAGCCGUAAACGAUGAAUGCCAAAUGUCGGCUUUUUUGUCGGCGUUGCAGAGAAAUCCAUGAGCAAUCCGCCUGGGGAGUACGGCCGCAAGGCUAAAACUCAAAGGAAUUGACGGGGGCCCGCACAAGCGGUGGAGCGCCUGGUUUAAUACGAUGCAAAGCGUAGAACCUUACCAGGGCUUGACAUGUAGGAAGUAGGAACUCGAAAGAGGGACCACCAGUAUCCAGUCUGGAGCCUACACAGGUGUUGCAUGGCUGUCGUCAGCUCGUGUCGUGAGAUGUUCCGUUAAGUCGGGUAACGAGCGCAACCCUCGCCCUUAGUUGCCAGCGGGUAAUGCCGGGGACUCUAAGGGGACUGCCUUUUAGGAGGAAGGAGAGGACGACGUCAAGUCAGUAUGGCCUUUAUGUCCUGGGCUACACAGGCGCUACAAUGGAUAUGACAAUGGGUAGCAAACCGGCGACGGUGAGCCAAUCCCCAAACAUAUCCUCAGUUCGGAUUGCAGAUUGCAACUCAUCUGCAUGAAGUCGGAAUCGCUAGUAAACGCAGAUCAGCAAUGCUGCGUUGAAUACGUUCCCGGGCCUUGUACACACCGCCCGUCAAGCCACCUGAAUUGGCUGCACCAGAAGCCGUUGGCCUAACCCAUUUAUUUGGGGGGGAGAUGACCAAGGUGUGGUCAGUAAGGGGGACUAAGUCGUAACAAGGUAGCCGUAGCGGAAGCUGCGGCUGGAUCACCUCCUUUUAAGG
rnacentral:rRNA from 1 species